rnacentral:tRNA from 1 species
AGACUCAGGAAUCGAAAUUCUUCUCCAAAUUUGCAGUUUGUCGUGUGAUCUGAGCC